AGCGAACGUUUGCGGCGGGCCUAACACAUGCAAGUCGAACGGGCUAGCAAUAGUCAGUGGCGCACGGGUGCGUAACACGUGGGUAAUCAACCCUUCAGCUCGGGAUAACGCCUUGAAAGGGGCGCUAAUACCGGAUACGACGCGAGGAGCUUCGGCUGCUUGCGGGAAAGAUUCGCAAGGAUCUCUGAAGGACGAGCCUGCGGCCCAUCAGCUAGUUGGUGAGGUAAGAGCUCACCAAGGCGAAGACGGGUAGCUGGUCUGAGAGGAUGAUCAGCCACACUGGAACUGAGACACGGUCCAGACUCCUACGGGAGGCAGCAGUGGGGAAUAUUGCGCAAUGGGCGAAAGACCUGACGCAGCCACCGCCGCGUGAGCGA
rnacentral:rRNA from 1 species